rnacentral:rRNA from 1 species
CGAAAGAUGGUGAACUAUGCCUGGCCAGGAUGAAGUCAGAGGAAACUCUGAUGGAGGUCCGAAGCGAUUCUGACGUGCAAAUCGAUCGUCAGAGCUGGGCAUAGGGGCGAAAGACUAAUCGAACUAUCUAGUAGCUGGUUCCCUCUGAAGUUUCCCUCAGGAUAGCUGGCGCUCGGAUUACAGGAUUUGUAUCCGGUAAAGCGAAUGAUUAGAGGGUUUGGGGACGAAAAGUCCUCAACCUAUUCUCAAACUUUAAAUGGAUAUUGUGGUCAAGCUUGCUUGAAUGAAGCUUUGUACCCUAAAUCAAUGAGUGCUUAGUGGGCCAUUUUU